rnacentral:rRNA from 1 species
UGAGUAACCUGCCCUGGACUUUGGGAUAACCCUCGGAAACGGGGGCUAAUACCGGAUAUGACAUGCUCUCGCAUGGGGGUGUGUGGAAAGUUUUUCGGUCUGGGAUGGGCUCGCGGCCUAUCAGCUUGUUGGUGGGGUGAUGGCCUACCAAGGCGACGACGGGUAGCCGGCCUGAGAGGGUGACCGGCCACACUGGGACUGAGACACGGCCCAGACUCCUACGGGAGCGA